CACCACCACCACCACCACCAUCUCCUCUCUCCUCUCCCCUCCCUCUCUCGACUCCCCUCUGCUUCAAGUGUCUUCUUGGCUGCGUUUCCUCCAUCCGGGGUUUUUAUCGCACGCCAGAUGUCUUUUGAAGGGAGCGAGAGACACUCGUCAUUUCUUCGUUGUGUCUACAUUUUCAUGAUCCGCGGAAGGCUCUGCUGCACCGGGAAGAUCCUGUUUCGGCAUUGGACCUGACGGAUCGUUGUUUACUUCGCAGCUUUUACUUUUCAGUUUAGUUGUUUGUUUACGACCUUUGGUAAUUCCUCUGGGAAAAAAAAGGGGGACUCCGACACUCUCAGUUUUUAAGAUUAAGAAAAAAGAAUUUUGCUCUAUUUGGUGCUUGUGAAGAGGAACUCUCGAAAUUUGGCUUGGUCUCCCCGAUGGCGAUAACAUCUCUUCCUCCGGGUUUCCGUUUUCAUCCUACUGAUGUCGAGUUGGUCAUGUUUUACCUCAAGAGAAAAGUGCUUGGAAAGAGGUUUCCUAUUGAAGCAAUUGCAGAGGUUGAUAUAUAUAAGUUUCCUCCUUGGGAUCUUCAAGGUAAAGCUUGUUUGAGUAGAGAUCUGAAGUGGUAUUUCUUCUGUCCCCGUGGGAGGAAAUAUGCAACUGGUGCUAGAACAAACCGAUCGACUGAUUUUGGGUUCUGGAAAACUACUGGAAAUGACAGGCCUGUAAUUUACAAGGAUGAACCUGUGGGAAUGAUAAAAAGCUUAAUUUUUCAUCGUCGCUUGGGCGGGGAACGUAAGUCAGAGCGAACAGAUUGGGUGAUGCACGAGUAUAGGCUUGAGGAUGAGGGUUUGAAGACGCAAGGGGUGGCACAGGAUGCAUUUGUACUUUGUGUGAUCUACCAGAAAGAUGGUCCUGGUCCCAAAAAUGGUGCCCAAUACGGAGCACCCUUCGAUGAGGAAGAAUGGGAGGAUGAUGGAGAAGCUGAUGUCCCCUCCGUUAGCGCUUUCACUCAGGCAUUUAUUUUACCUGAUAAGCAGAAGCAUUAUGCUGGCAUCAGAAUUACAGAUCCUGAGCGAUACUGUGUGGAGUCCACAUCCAAGGCAUGCCCAGCUGGACCAUCUCAGAUGGUGCCUUCUGUUGUCAAUGUGCCUCCGCCAGCUCCUACCAAUGACGUCACAAUGGAGGGUCCUCAGAACCCCUGUGAUGAAUACCUUCUUUCACAUGGUAUCUUUGGUGAUGAUAUCCCUGCAGCAUUUUCUGAAAACGACAAAGUUGAGAACCCUGACCACGUCAAUCCUGAUGGAAUUCACGAAGCUGAAUUUACAAUGGAUGAUAUCUUCGAUGGUUUAGAAGACCUUCCUGACUCAUUGGCCCCAUCUCAUCACCUUAAUAAUUUUGCGGACACAAACUCUAAUGCAAAUAUGUUUCCUUUAAGUGAACCAUAUUUGGAGCUGAACGAUUUCAAUGCUGCAUUGACUUCAGUUGAUGCUGGUCCAUCUGGACGCAACCAUUCAGAGAGAUACCUCUCUGCAAAUGAUCAUUCUAUUGCUGCUCAGGGAUUCUGGACUCCAGUAAUUCCUGAUGAAAAUGCUCCUGGGUUGGGGUUGAUAGAUCUCGAGAGUCCGUUGACUUUCUCUGGUGAGGCUGGUCAAUCCAAUCAAGCGUAUGUCGAUGCCUUUUCUGCUCUGGGUGGUAGCGAUGGUUUAGGUGGAUUUGGCACCAUAUCCAAUUCUCCUGCUUUUGCUCAGCCAUUCCAUGGUUCAGAAGUAACUCAAGUUACUGAGGAUUUCCCUCAGUCGAGUCGGUACCCUCGGCUGGAGCCGAUGGAGGGCCAUGUGGAUAUGCACUGGGAGGGUCAUGGUGUUGGAGAAUGCACAAAUCAAGAGAUUGUAAGAUAUGGCGCUGGUGCAGCAAAUUCUGCUAUCAAUAAUCCCGAUUUAGGAUGUGCGCAUGCUUGCGAAAACCCAGGAAGAGGGGAAGAGACAAUUUUCUGUUGUAUCCUCCAUUUCUUGGAGUAUCCCACACAUCCGAGUUCUGCCGUAGAGCGCCCUGCUCCAUUUACUGGAGCAAAGAAAAUUGAUGGGCAUGCUCUCUUUCUUCUCUAUGGAGACUCCUCCUUCCAUGUCAAGGCCGAGGUGACUCUUGGAGGAGGUGGACGUGGGUGCACUAACGACGCUUUGUCACGCGGGUUGGAGGGGUUUCCGUUUGUUACUGAUUGCGAGGAGAACGGAAGUCGAUCAGGAAAAGGAGCGGCUAACUGCGGAUGUGGGAUCUUAUCAUCACUUGUACAGUUGACUCUCUCCGGUUACUAUGCUGGCCUCGCUGGGAGGACAUGUAUUAUUGGAGACUUGCACGAUACUUUUAGGUUAUUGUUUCUGGAGGUGGUGUGGCUGAUUGAACAGAUUUCUGUUUGGUGUGCCUGCAUUGAACGAUGGGUGUCUUUUGCGUCUCUGUUUGUGUUGUUCGUGUUUUCCUCGCUCUUUGGAAUUGGUAGUUUUUCAGCUCCCCACAUCACGUGCAGUUCAUUUAGUACACCGAUAUCAUUAGUUUCUAGAGUAGGGUCAUUUAAAUUGCUGAGGUUUCAGUUGAUCUCACCAAUCCGAGUGUUUCGAGAGUAAAUUCCAGCCGAGGAGGAAGAUCUGGAUGAGAAUGUGCUGAUUUCGAAACUAUAAACGGUCCAAAGACACUUCUGUAUCUUGGAAUAUUGCCUUAGCUUAGAAGUAAUCCUUUUUUGGCUUGAAGUUUUAAUCUUUUGAUUUCCCAUUUUGUGUAAUUUUGAUCUCUGACCUCCUUUCGCUUCAAAUUUGACAUUGAUUCUUGCUCGUGACCUGCAAAAUCGGAUCUACGCAAUCGAAUCGGAUUGUACGAAAGGGAUCCAUGGGAACUUUCCGAUCUAAGGUCACGUGCUAGGAUUGCUGUGCAAAUUUGACACUAUGGAGGGGUCAAAAUCACAAAAAACCAGAGGAGUUGAAGAGUUAGGGUGUCGGAUCAUAAAGGCUAGGGAUGAAAUUGUAGAAAUGAUCAUGCUUUAUAGUUUAUUCAUAAUUACUUUAAGAUUUAGUCAAUUUCUUUCUUCUCCGUUUAUGGGUCGAUAUUGUUGUUAAAGUACUAAUGCUUGUCUGACCGGACCUGUUUUAGCAACUGUUUUUCUGCUUGUUAGUUGCCCAGACACUAAGUACGAUUGGGAAUGUGCCAGUUUUGAUGACUAAGAAAGGAGUAGAAAACAGAGGUAUAGAACAUCAGUUCGCAUCCCGUAAGGCCACUUUAGAACCGGACUUCGUUGGGCAAACUUUGUUAGUCAAAACCAGCCAAGGUGGGUCGUCGGACAUUCUAAUCCUUUAGUGAGUCCCCAUGCUGGUCUGUACGGGCUCUAUUAAGUCUUUGUCGCACCUUGCCUUUGGCUUGAUCGUAUUAAUCGAUUGAUUGUACCAAUUGAAGUACGAUAGGGUUGGGUAUUAAGGGUGCGUUUGGCAACACGUUUGCAAAACCCUUAGGACCUCUAAAGGUUUUUGGGCAAAUGCGAAUGUGUUUGGCACAAACAUUGUUUAAAACCCAUUUGAAAAAUGCUAGUAUUUCCAAGUACCCUCCAAGGGCCUUGGCAAGCGGAGAGGAGCGUGGAGAAGGCAGCUUUCUCGGCGUGCAACAUGUACUGAGUCUGGGAUUCGAUUUUUGUGAAUGUCGCGCACACAUGUACAUCGAAUAAAGGAGCGUGACACAAAAAAGAGCUCAAUUAAUGAAUUUUUUUUAAUUCACUCACUAAUCAUAAUCCCUUCUUUAAAAAAAAACACUCUCGCCUCUUUCUCUUCUCUCGCCUCUCUUCUUUCACCACACGAAUGCAAGCUCAGUUGGUGACAUUGCUCGCUUCUCUUCGCCUAUCUCACAAACAUAGCCCAUUCACCUCUCUUCCCUUGCCUCGCGAACACAACUCAGCUCAGCUGGUGAAUUCCUGGUUUGUGCUUGAUUUGAGAGCCUUAAGCCCGUGUGGAGUUCCCGGUUUGUGUUGGGUACUUAUUUUUCCACUUUCGCUUCCUAGGUUGUGCUUGAUCGGAGAGCUUCAAGCUCGUGCCUUGCGGUAUGGAAUAACCUCGACGAGCUUUGCCACGGCUGGAUGGAGGAGGCCUGGGGAGAAGUCCCUGAAGCUAGACCUUAGGCUCAGCAGGGAGUACUUUGCUGUCAUAGAGGAGCAGAUCAUCAGUUUGCCUUGUUCGGAGAUGUGAAAGAGUUUGUAUCUUUGUUGUUCCGUUUUUCUGUUGCAUGUUUUUCGGUUGAUAUGAGUUUCGAGCUGCAUUUGUCGGGGAAUGAAUGCAAUCGGACUAGUCGCUUCGCAUCUCCUCUGUACUGUAUAAUUGAUUAGAGUCAAACCCGUGAUUUGGCUGGAAAACACGAUGUUUAUCUGUUCGUCUGAUCGAUCAAUGUAGCCAUGUUUUUUUGCUUUUGA